rnacentral:lncRNA from 1 species
AGAGUGCGCGAGGCUGAGCGGUAUAAUUGGGCUGCGACUAGAGGAGUUAACGAAGAGUUGCUCUUUGAGAAUAUGCCUGAUGACCUUCAAAGAGAUAUAAGGCGACACCUCUUCAAAUUUCUCAAGAAGGUACUAAGCAACAGCCACAUGAAAGCAUUAAUCAGUAUCCAUCAGUCAGUAUUCUUUUUGUGUACUUAGAGACUCCAUAGUGUUACAAAAAGCUAGUUCUGAAUCCAACUGUGUCUAGAUAAUAGGCAUAGAUUAACCACUACUGAAACUCAAUUGUAAGACUUUGAAACUUUAAUGGAUUUGCAGGUAAGGAUCUUUUCCUUGAUGGAUGAAUCAAUCUUAGAUGCCAUCCGUGAGAGGCUGAAACAGAGGACUUACAUAAGGGGUAGCACGGUGUUGCACAACAGAGGUAUAGUUGAAAAGAUGGUAUUCAUAGUGAGAGGUGAGAUGGAGAGCAGUGGGGAAGACGGUUCUGUUCUGCCAUUAUCGGAAGGCGACGUUUGUGGUGAAGAACUUCUCACUUGGUGCCUCGAACGCUCUUCCAUAAACCCCGGUACUAAUAAGAUUUGACUCUGUGUUCAUGAUUUUAAUGUUAACGUAAACUGUUUUAGAAGAAACUUGACUGAGGAAAAGCUUGGAAUUAAAUAUGUUUUGAAACUUUGCAGAUGGGACGAGGAUAAAGAUGCAACCAAAGGGAUUGGUUAGCAACAGAAAUGUUAGGUGUAUGACAAACGUGGAGGCGUUUGCACUGAGUGUAGCAGAUCUUGAAGAUGUAACGAGCUUGUUUUCAAGAUUCUUAAGGAGCCAUCGAGUGCAAGGAGCCAUAAGGUACGAGUCUCCUUAUUGGAGGUUACGAGCAGCUAUGCAAAUUCAAGUGGCUUGGAGAUACCGAAAGAGACAACUCCAGAGAUUAUACACUACUCAGUCCAGUUACAACCGUUAAAUUGGAAGAUGAUGUUUGGUUUGGUGGUAGAUAAGUAAUAUAAGUAUAAAGCUUAGUGGUUUUUAAAUAGUUGUAAUAUAUAAAAUGACUCGAUGAUUCAUUAGUUGUAAUCUAUAAGAUGGCUCAGUGAUUCACUCAUUAGUGAUACUAAAGCUGAAAAACUUGUCUUAGAAUGAAACUUUUUCUCAGAAGUGUUUCUCAAGUUCCAAACUUCCAAUCAUAUAAAUUACUUCAGGCCUCUUUGGCGGUUUAUGGUUGACCAAUGAAAAAUUGACGACAUUAACAGUGAAACCAUUCGGUUCAAACACCCCAAGUUGAAUAAAUAAUUUAAAUCCACGUGGCUUGAGUAGUUGGGCUCAUAAUUUUGGCCCAUUUAAUAUUGUACUCUUACUGUAAGAAAGUAAGAUAAAGAAACAGAAGCAGCCAUAUGUGGUUAAUGACAUUUUUGGCUCCAAUCACUUAGUGACAGUUGGUACUUGGUAAUCAAAUAAUGGAAUUUUUACAGACCCGUGAACAUAUUUAAAAGGAAAAGCAUCUUAAUUUAUUCCCUCUUCGUACUGAAUAUUCAAUAUUCUCCACCAUUUUACUUGUAAUGUUCAUGGAUUUAUUUCCAUAAUCACUUAAAAAAUACAAUUGCAUAAACAGAAAUAAAAUAAAAAAAGAUAGCCACAGAGGAGAGAGAGAGAGAGAAGGACCCUUUACGGACAAUGAAAUAAACAAUGUAAUAAAAGUCAAGUACUGACUUUUUCUGACAUGAGUUCUUCUUGCUUACAAUAAUACACUUCCUUGACGGAGGCUAUACGAAGAAGACGACCCUGACUUGGUCAUCCUCAUCUCCUCUCUUAUUUCUUCUUCUUACCAAUUUUACCAAAAGUCUCAAACUCUCUGCUUCAUUCAACUUACUUCUCCGUCUCAAAUUCUUUGUUUUUUCUUCUUGAAUUCUUGAUUUUGGUCAAGAAAUGGCUUCCCAUAACGAGAACGAUGAUAUCCCCAUGCUUCCAAUUUCAGACUCGUCAUCUCGUACCAGAGCUUUCACUUCCAGGACCCGUAGCGCUUCUCUCUCAAAUCCUACUUCCUCCAUUGACGGAUUCGACAACUCAAAUGUGGUUUUAGGCUACACGGGUCCUCUUCGAGCUCCGAGACGUCCUCCGUUAGUUCAAAUGAGUGGUCCUCUUACCUCUACUCGCAAACCUGAACCUCUCUUUCUUCCCCAUCCUUCUACUAGUUCUUCUGGUGUCUCUUCUCAGCUUGAGAGGUAUCCUUCUGCUCUUGAACAUAAAAACUCCUCAGACGAUGACUUUGUUUUGAAACACGCGAAUCUCUUGAAAUCGGGACAACUAGGGAUGUGUAAUGAUCCUUACUGUACCACUUGCCCUUCUUAUUACAACCGUAAGGCUGCUCAAAUUCCUCACUCUAGAGUUUCUGCCAUUUUUGAUUCCACGGUAAAGUUUUGAUUUUUGUUUACUUCACAGUCACAAAAUUUGCUUCAGGAUCAAGUAUAUGUUACUGAAACAGAGUCUUUUGCUUUAUCGCUAGUUCCAUAAUGCUCUGUACGAUGAUGCUAAAGGUUGGGCUAGGCGUUUUUCUUCCUCUGUCAAUAGAUACUUACCUGGAAUCAUGAAUCCUCAUGCCAAAGUAGUUCAAAGCUGGACUAAAUUCUUCGCCCUUUCAUGCUUGUUAGCUAUUUUUAUAGACCCUCUCUUCUUCUUCCUCAUUAAAGUCCAAGAGGUAUGUUUAUUUCUUAAGAGAUAUCUCUCUCUCUCUCUAUCUUUUGCUUCUCCUGUGUGUUGUUAUCUUGCCUUUUAACCUUUUUGACCAUCUUACUUACUGUAGCGAAACAAAUGCAUUAUGAUUGAUUGGCCAAUGACUAGAGCAUUUGUUGCUGUUAGAAGUGUGACAGAUGUUAUAUUCACUAUGAACAUUCUACUACAGGUGUUUUUCCUUUGCUUACUAUUUACUCCAUCUCUUUUUAAACAAAAUCUGUUGGCUUUAUAAUGCUCACUUCUUCCAUAUUUGUUGCAGUUCCGAUUAGCCUACGUAGCUCCUGAGUCUACUGUGGUUGGUGCUGGCCAGUUAGUUAGUCAUCCGAAGAAAAUUGCCCUCCAUUAUUUCCGAGGAAAGUUUUUUCUUGACUUGUUCAUAGUGAUGCCACUUCCACAGGUAUUGUAAUGUUAGAGCUACUACUGGCUUUAAGUAAUGGUAAUCAUAACAUGUUUGUUUACCUUUCUCCUCUUUUGUUUACAGAUAUUGAUAUUAUGGAUAAUACCAAAACACUUGGGGGUAUCCGGAGCAAACUAUGCAAAAAACCUUCUACGAGCUGCAGUUCUUUUCCAGUACAUUCCAAAGUUAUAUAGACUUCUACCAUUUCUUGCUGGACAAACACCAACGGGAUUCAUAUUUGAGUCAGCUUGGGCUAAUUUUGUCAUUAAUCUUCUCACCUUCAUGCUUGCUGGACAUGUUGUUGGCUCUUGCUGGUAUCUUUUUGGUUUGCAGGUAUGACAAAGUCUCAAAAUGUCCUUUCAUACUUAUCUUGUCCUGAGCAAUGCCUAUAUUUAAAUAGAUUCUUUUCAUUGUCUGUUUCCCUUUUUCUUUUGUCUCUUACAGAGAGUGAAUCAAUGCCUUCGAAAUGCUUGCGGUAGUCUUGACCGUGGAUGUCGAGAUCUUAUAGAUUGUGGUAAUGGAAAUAGCAGCGAUGUACAAGUACGAGCUACCUGGAGAGAUAACGCGAGUGCCAUUGCUUGUUUCCAAGAAGAUGGUUUUCCUUAUGGAAUCUAUUCAAAAGCAGUCAAUCUUACCAGUCAUUCUAGUCUCUUCACAAGAUACAGUUACUCUCUCUUCUGGGGUUUUCAGGUAAUUUGUUUUUGGUUUUUUUUCAGUUUUUGAGUAGCAAACUUUAAAAAAGUACUGAACUACUUUGCCAUUGAUUGGCAUAUUUGGAACUCUUCCCUAAUGUCAUUUUUGUUUUAAUAAUUCGCAAAGCAAAUCAGCACUCUUGCUGGUAACCAAGUCCCAAGCUACUUUCUAGGGGAGGUCUUCUUUACUAUGGGUAUCAUUGGACUAGGACUUUUGCUUUUUGCGCUUCUUAUUGGCAAUAUGCAAAAUUUCCUUCAAGCUCUUGGUAAAAGGUAAAAAAACUCCUAUCAUUACAUUAUUGUACAAAAGUAGAUAUUUCAAGACAUAGUGGUUGGUUUAGUGAAUUACUAAGUACUCUGGUGAUGUUGCUUUGUCCAUAAUAGAAAUUUGGAAAUGACGCUAAGACGGCGUGAUGUGGAACAAUGGAUGAGCCAUAGACGGUUGCCUGAAGGUAUAAGAAAGUAUGUGGCCUAUCCCUAUUAUAUACUUUGCUUCUCAGUUGAAGUUUAAGUUUUGAAGAAUUACAUUGGUCUCAGUUUCUGUAGUGUCACUAUAAAACUAAGUGCAUUGUUUGUUCAACAUUUUCAGGAGGGUGCGAGAAGCUGAGAGGUUCAACUGGGCUGCUACUAGAGGCGUUAACGAAGAGCUGCUCUUUGAGAAUAUGCCUGAUGACCUUCAAAGAGAUAUAAGACGCCACCUCUUCAAAUUUCUCAAGAAGGUAAGCAUCUGAGUCCAUUUUCCUUAGCAUGGCUCUCUCUCUCGAACAUUUGUGUGUGCAUAUAUCCCAAUUCCAUAGUGUUUCAAAGAGCUACUUCUAGAAUCUAGCUGUAUAGGGACUGCUACUGAAACCAAAAGUAAUAGUUAGAGUCACAGAUUAAUCAUUUUUGAGAAUACUACAGAAAUGUUUAUGGGUUGCAGGUGAGAAUAUUUUCU